rnacentral:rRNA from 1 species
UGAGGAAUAUUGCGCAAUGGGGGAAACCCUGACGCAGCGAUGCCGCGUGAGUGAAGAAGGCCUUCGGGUCGUAAAGCUCUGUCAAACGGGAAGAACAGUCUGGGGACGAAUAAUCUCCGGGCCUGACGGUACCGUUGAAGGAAGCACCGGCUAACUCCGUGCCAGCAGCCGCGGUAAGACGGAGGGUGCGAGCGUUAUUCGGAUUUAUUGGGUGUAAAGAGUGUGUAGGCGGUCGAUCAAGUCUGAUGUGAAAGCCCGGGGCUUAACCUCGGAAGGGCGUUGGAAACUGGUCGACUUGAGUUCGGGAGAGGAAAGCGGAAUUCCGGGUGUAGAGGUGAAAUUCGUAGAUAUCCGGAGGAACACCGGUGGCGAAGGCGGCUUUCUGGACCGAAACUGACGCUGAGACACGAAAGCGUGGGGAGCAAACAGG